rnacentral:rRNA from 1 species
GACGAACGCUGGCGGCGUGCCUAAUACAUGCAAGUCGAGCGAACAGACGAGGAGCUUGCUCCUCUGAUGUUAGCGGCGGACGGGUGAGUAACACGUGGAUAACCUACCUAUAAGACUGGGAUAACUUCGGGAAACCGGAGCUAAUACCGGAUAACAUGUUGAACCGCAUGGUUCAACAGUGAAAGACGGUCUUGCUGUCACUUAUAGAUGGAUCCGCGCCGCAUUAGCUAGUUGGUAAGGUAACGGCUUACCAAGGCAACGAUGCGUAGCCGACCUGAGAGGGUGAUCGGCCACACUGGAACUGAGACACGGUCCAGACUCCUACGGGAGGCAGCAGUAGGGAAUCUUCCGCAAUGGGCGAAAGCCUGACGGAGCAACGCCGCGUGAGUGAAGAAGGUCUUCGGAUCGUAAAACUCUGUUAUUAGGGAAGAACAAAUGUGUAAGUAACUAUGCACGUCUUGACGGUACCUAAUCAGAAAGCCACGGCUAACUACGUG